AUUGAACGCUAGCGGCAUGCCUAACACAUGCAAGUCGAACGAGUGGCGGACGUAUGAGUAAUGUCUGGGCACCUGCCUGGUGGAUGGGGAUACCUACUGGAAACGGUAGCUGCUAACGCAUACCAUCAGAUGUGCCCAGAUGGGAUUAGCUUGUGGGGGGGGUAACGGCUCACCAAGGCGACGAUCCCUAGCUGGUCUGAGAGGAGGACCAGCCACACUGGAACUGAGACACGGUCCAGACUCCUACGGGAGGCAGCAGUGGGGAAUAUUGCACAAUGGGCGAAAGCCUGAUGCAGCCAUGCCGCGUGUAUGAAGAAGGCCUUCGGGUUGUAAAGCACUUUCAGCAGGGAGGCGGUACCUGCAGAAGAAGCACCGGCUAACUCCGUGCCAGCAGCCGCGGUAAUAC
rnacentral:rRNA from 1 species